GACGAACGCUGGCGGCGUGCCUAAUACAUGCAAGUUGAGCGAUGAAGAUUGGUGCUUGCACCAAUUUGAAGAGCAGCGAACGGGUGAGUAACGCGUGGGGAAUCUGCCUUUGAGCGGGGGACAACAUUUGGAAACGAAUGCUAAUACCGCAUAACAACUUUAAACAUAAGUUUUAAGUUUGAAAGAUGCAAUUGCAUCACUCAAAGAUGAUCCCGCGUUGUAUUAGCUAGUUGGUGAGGUAAAGGCUCACCAAGGCGAUGAUACAUAGCCGACCUGAGAGGGUAAUCGGCCACAUUGGGACUGAGACACGGCCCAAACUCCUACGGGAGGCAGCAGUAGGGAAUCUUCGGCAAUGGACGAAAGUCUGACCGAGCAACGCCGCGUGAGUGAAGAAGGUUUUCGGAUCGUAAAACUCUGUUGGUAGAGAAGAACGUUGGUGAGAGUGGAAAGCUCAUCAAGUGACGGUAACUACACAGAAAGGGACGGCUAACUACGUG
rnacentral:rRNA from 1 species